rnacentral:tRNA from 1 species
CAGGGUAUAGCUCAGUGGUAGAGCACGUGCUUAGCACUCAUAAGGUCCUGGGUUCAAUCCCCAGUACCUUCA